AUCGCUUACACACAGGAUACUAUUAGAAUUAGAAUAGUGCAGUGCGGAAGAGCCAGCCCUCAGGCAUCCAAGUUAAGAGGGAACUCAGGGGGUCCUAAUGCAUGGCUUGUAAGAGAGGGGCAGAACUUUUAACUAAGAGUAAUUGCAAAGUGAAAAGGGAUUUAGGGAGACAUACAAAUUGUGGUCAUGCCUAGCCACAAGUGUAGACUGGUACACCCCUGAUCACUUGUUUGGUUAAACAAGUUAGGAGCAGACCGUUGAAGGUCAACCUAAGUCUGGAUAGUGAUUAGGAAACCAUCAGACCCAAGUCCAAUGCUCAAACACAUAAAGGGGAAAGGGGAGUGGGAACUGAUUGAGUUAGGGGUCAAAGAACCUGUUCAGAGUCAUAGACAACAAUGUUAAAGUGCUGGUAUGUCUUGAACCAUACUCAUAUACAAAGAGGAAAAAGGAAAUGGAGUUUACAUAAGAGAAGUAGUAACAAAGUUGCAGGAACACAUAUCAAAACUUAGGGUGUAAACACAUAGCGGAGGAGCAUUUUUUAAACUAAGGAGAACAUACCAGUUCCAAAGUGAGAAUAAGAGCAAGCAAACAGCAGGAACAAACUCAAAUUCUCAGCAGGACACUUGAAGGAUUGAAGAGAACUCAAAGGUGUUUCAGAAAGCAAAGAGUAGAAGUAUUUAGAAGAAGAGAGUAGAAAACAGAGUGGUUAAUACUGCUGUGUGUGUAAGAAUGCAACUCGAGAGUCUUAGUCUAAUUGUGUGUCUCAAGUGCAGAAAAGUGUGUGUGCAAGUGCAGAAAGGUAGCCCCCCUUGUAUAGUGUAGAAAACAAGUAGGAAGAGGUAAGAAAUUACUUUUAAAAUCAGUCUCAAUGAUUUUCCUUUAGUCAAAGGAUUUGAUUUCAAAUGGGCAUGAGGUAAUUAUGGAAAGAAAAUAACUAAAACCCUUUUCCAAAGUAACAUAAUAGGGGAAAAUACACAGAGAUAUUAUUUAAGGAAAGAGUCAAGUAGUACAUGGUUUGAUCAUACUAAGGAAAGACAAUCAACUAACUACCAGUAAAAAUCAAAGUGUCAGGCUCCGUUUGAAUGGACAAGGUCAGGAAAAGGGAAACUAGAGAAAUCGAAAACAAUUAGUCAGGAAUCAUUAAAAGAAAUUUGAAAUCAACUAAUUAGUUGGAAAAGACUUUUUGAAGGGAGAAUUUAUCAUAUAUAAAUCAUACAGACAUGUGAGACAAGAGGGAGACUAGUGUAGAAAAAUUCAGGGUCAUAACAAAGAGGUCGAAUUCAGUUUAUAGACUUAAAGUGAGUUUGAUGGAGUCAAGAGUUCUGACUAGAACCCUAGUCCAAAACAAAGUCAAGCCUGCCAAAAAUCGCAAAUACUAGGGUUUAUGACUUGAAUCAGAUGAAUAGACGAGAAGACUAUAACUAGAACAGGCUCAGUAGUCUUUUCAAAGACUUAUGAGAAAACAAACAAAUAGCAUAGCAGGCUCAAGGCAAAUGUAAUGUAGAAACCAAUUUGAAGCACAUGGAACACGUUUUAACAAAAACUUGUCACUCAAACAAGUUCAGAAGAGAAAAAGCGAUACAAGCUUGGGAAAAUAGUAGAUGAAACAUGUCUAGAAAGAACUCAAACAAAGCCUAGAAGAAGGUGAGUAAAGAGCUAAAGCUUAGUAGAAAAGUCAGUAAAGGAACACGGGGUAAAUGAACAUGUGAAAGCAUGAUAUAGAAUUAGUCAAAUAAAGAACGAAGCAUAGUAAUGCAGGCAUAAGAACAUCACAUAGGCUGAUACACUCAAAGAAAAGAAGAAGAACAAGAAUCAUGCUUAGUUGAAAGAAAAACAGGAGAUCAAAUACAUGCGUAGUAGAGAAGAAAACAUAUGAGAUAAACACAGACAAACACAUAUAAAGAAAAGAGUGGAAAGAAUCAAAAGGUUUUUCAGAAACCCUAGUUUAAAAAUCAAACGAUUUUAUAAAGGAAAAUUGGGGAAAAAGCUUAAAACGUCGAAUAUAGCACAGAUACAGCAUAAAUCUAAGAAAACAACCAGAGAAAAAUCUUGAAUAACUUUAGGUUUUCAGAGAAACCCUAGAAAUGAUAAGGCUUGGAAGAAAGUGUGGUCUCGAGUCGGAGAUGGCCAGAGAUAGGAUCCUAAAGCUUGAACACGCCGGAGCAAGGCCGAAGAGGCCAUAGAACCACAGAUCUGUAGAGAAUCAAAAUGGACACCAUCGAGGUCAGACCUCGAAAUCUCGAACACCCAGGGUUUAUGGGUGAAGAGAGGUGAGUACAGGCCGUCCGUGGCCGGAGACGCGAUGGAUUCCGAUGAGAUUAUGGUCGGAGAAGGGUGAGAGGGGCUAAGGUUUCAGGACCUUUCGAGUGAGUUUGAGAGAGGGAGAGAUUUUAGAG
rnacentral:lncRNA from 1 species